AUUGAACGCUGGCGGAAUGCUUUACACAUGCAAGUCGAACGGCAGCACGGACUUCGGUCUGGUGGCGAGUGGCGAACGGGUGAGUAAUGUAUCGGAACGUGCCCAGUCGUGGGGGAUAACGUAGUGAAAAUUACGCUAAUACCGCAUACGAUCUAUGGAUGAAAGCGAGGGAUCGCAAGACCUCGCGCGAUUGGAGCGGCCGAUAUCAGAUUAGGUAGUUGGUGGGGUAAAGGCCCACCAAGCCAACGAUCUGUAGCUGGUCUGAGAGGGCGACCAGCCACACUGGAACUGAGACACGGCCCAGACUCCUACGGGAGGCAGCAGUGGGGAAUUUUGGACAAUGGGCGAAAGCCUGAUCCAGCCAUUCCGCGUGCAGGAUGAAGGCCCUCGGGUUGUAAACUGCUCUUGUACAGAACGAAAAGGUUUCUACUAAUACUAGGAGCUCAUGACGGUACUGUAAGAAUAAGCACCGGCUAACUACGUGCCAGCAGCCGCCGCCG
rnacentral:rRNA from 1 species